AGACGAACGCUGGCGGCGUGCCUAAUACAUGCAAGUCGAACGAACUCUGGUAUUGAUUGGUGCUUGCAUCAUGAUUUACAUUUGAGUGAGUGGCGAACUGGUGAGUAACACGUGGGAAACCUGUCCAGAAGCGGGGGAUAACACCUGGAAACAGAUGCUAAUACCGCAUAACAACUUGGACCGCAUGGUCCGAGUUUGAAAGAUGGCUUCGGCUAUCACUUUUGGAUGGUCCCGCGGCGUAUUAGCUAGAUGGUGGGGUAACGGCUCACCAUGGCAAUGAUACGUAGCCGACCUGAGAGGGUAAUCGGCCACAUUGGGACUGAGACACGGCCCAAACUCCUACGGGAGGCAGCAGUAGGGAAUCUUCCACAAUGGACGAAAGUCUGAUGGAGCAACGCCGCGUGAGUGAUGAAGGGUUUCGGCUCGUAAAACUCUGUUGUUAAAGAAGAACAUAUCUGAGAGUAACUGUUCAGGUAUUGACGGUAUUUAACCAGAAAGCCACGGCUAACUACGUGCCAGCAGCCGCGGUAAUACGUAGGUGGCAAGCGUUGUCCGGAUUUAUUGGGCGUAAAGCGAGCGCAGGCGGUUUUUUAAGUCUGAUGUGAAAGCCUUCGGCUCAACCGAAGAAGUGCAUCGGAAACUGGGAAACUUGAGUGCAGAAGAGGACAGUGGAACUCCAUGUGUAGCGGUGAAAUGCGUAGAUAUAUGGAAGAACACCAGUGGCGAAGGCGGCUGUCUGGUCUGUAACUGACGCUGAGGCUCGAAAGUAUGGGUAGCAAACAGGAUUAGAUACCCUGGUAGUCCAUACCGUAAACGAUGAAUGCUAAGUGUUGGAGGGUCUCCGCCCUUCAGUGCUGCAGCUAACGCAUUAAGCAUUCCGCCUGGGGAGUACGGCCGCAAGGCUGAAACUCAAAGGAAUUGACGGGGGCCCGCACAAGCGGUGGAGCAUGUGGUUUAAUUCGAAGCUACGCGAAGAACCUUACCAGGUCUUGACAUACUAUGCAAAUCUAAGAGAUUAGACGUUCCCUUCGGGGACAUGGAUACAGGUGGUGCAUGGUUGUCGUCAGCUCGUGUCGUGAGAUGUUGGGUUAAGUCCCGCAACGAGCGCAACCCUUAUUAUCAGUUGCCAGCAUUAAGUUGGGCACUCUGGUGAGACUGCCGGUGACAAACCGGAGGAAGGUGGGGAUGACGUCAAAUCAUCAUGCCCCUUAUGACCUGGGCUACACACGUGCUACAAUGGAUGGUACAACGAGUUGCGAACUCGCGAGAGUAAGCUAAUCUCUUAAAGCCAUUCUCAGUUCGGAUUGUAGGCUGCAACUCGCCUACAUGAAGUCGGAAUCGCUAGUAAUCGCGGAUCAGCAUGCCGCGGUGAAUACGUUCCCGGGCCUUGUACACACCGCCCGUCACACCAUGAGAGUUUGUAACACCCAAAGUCGGUGGGGUAACCUUUUAGGAACCAGCCGCCUAAGGUGGGACAGAUGAUUAGGGUG
rnacentral:rRNA from 1 species